GGUGGUUCUCAGGUGAUGCACCCCGGAAUCGUGCUCCCUCCUUUCUGGUUUCAGAUGCGUCACCCGAGAACCGCA
rfam:Myotis davidii contig48806, whole genome shotgun sequence.